rnacentral:misc_RNA from 1 species
UUUCCGUAGGUGAACCUGCGGAAGGAUCAUUCAUAAUAAAGUGUUUUAUGGCACUUUAUAAAAAUCCAUAUCCACCUUGUGUGCAAUGUUAGAUCUCGUCAAUCUUGGCGAGAUUUUUAUACAUCAACUCAUUCUUUAACUAAUUUGUCUGAAAAAUAUUAUGAAUACUUAAUUCAAAAUACAACUUUCAACAACGGAUCUCUUGGCUCUC